rnacentral:tRNA from 1 species
GUUUAAAUAGUUUAAUUAAAAUACUAAUUUGUGGGGUUAGGGAUAUGAGGAUUCAUUUUAAACA